rnacentral:rRNA from 1 species
AAUAGAUACCCGGGUAGUCCACGCCGUAAACGAUGUCGACUUGGAGGUUGUUCCCUUGAGGAGUGGCUUCCGGAGCUAACGCGUUAAGUCGACCGCCUGGGGAGUACGGCCGCAAGGUUAAAACUCAAAUGAAUUGACGGGGGCCCGCACAAGCGGUGGAGCAUGUGGUUUAAUUCGAUGCAACGCGAAGAACCUUACCUACUCUUGACAUCCAGAGAACUUAGCAGAGAUGCUUUGGUGCCUUCGGGAACUCUGAGGCAGGUGCUGCAUGGCUGUCGUCAGCUCGUGUUGUGAAAUGUUGGGUUAAGUCCCGCAACGAGCGCAACCCUUAUCCUUUGUUGCCAGCGGUUCGGCCGGGAACUCAAAGGAGACUGCCAGUGAUAAACUGGAGGAAGGUGGGGAUGACGUCAAGUCAUCAUGGCCCUUACGAGUAGGGCUACACACGUGCUACAAUAGCGUAUACAAAGAGAAGCGACCUCGCGAGAGCAAGCGGACCUCAUAAAGUACGUCGUAGUCCGGAUUGGAGU